rnacentral:lncRNA from 1 species
UAAAUGUAAAAGAAAUAAAUUUUUGUUUUGCCUAGAUCCUUUCCACAAAGCAGGCACAAUCUUUUCCAGCAGCUUGGAAUAAAGAGAGACUCUCAGAAGAGACAUAAAUUCCAUAAGUAGAACUGGCUUCUCACCCUUUCUGUUUUGGAUCACCCGGAUGGAGAAACGUGCCGAACUGUUACGAUGGUGCAGCAGCCCCUACUGAGCGCAGGAGGAAAAAAGGAUUUGAAACUGCUUGAGACUAAAAUGAUAAAAGAAAUCAAUGAAGUAAGACACAGACCACCUGAAAAUCUUCAGUGGAAGCACAAGUUGAGACAUGAUGUCAGAGAGGCAUUCUCUUCACGGAGAAGGCAUAUUAAGCUAUGCUAGAGCUGACUGCUCUUCCAAGCACUGUUGCUAGAUGCUUAGAAGAAUAAAAUCUUCCCUUCUGGUUGACCUUAAAAGCUGUCUUAUGCCAGGCCUUAAAUGUGAAAAUGUGAACAUAAAACAUUUUUUCAUUGAUCCCAUAAAAAAAUUUUCAACAUGU